rnacentral:rRNA from 1 species
AUGUAUGCACCUUUGGUCCACCAACACCACCAGCGCAACCACCAUCCACCACCAGGUCCACCACCACCAGAUCCCCUUCUUCUUCCUCCUCUUCCACCAGAUCUUCAUCUUCAUCCUCUAUUUGCCCUUCCUCUGCUCCUGUUCCCCUGGUCUCCAAGAGCAACCAUGGUGUCCUGGGAUGAUCUCCCAACCUCUUCUGAAGAUGACUCGGUGACCAACAAGCAUCCUGCAACAAUUUUCUGCAAAGAAUGGACUGGCCUGGCAACAGAUCUGCCUAGCUUUAAAUGUGAGCAUGGAUCUUUGUGUGAGAAGCAUGUGGCUUUUCAAUCAGUUGAUAGUGGAAGAAGAUUCCUGGCUUGUGCACACAAGGAAGUACCUAAAUGCACCUAUGUGGAAUGGAUAGACCCUGAGUGGCCUGAAGCAUUGAAGAUGAGCCUAGCUACCAUAUGGAGCAUGUAUGAAGAGGAGACAAAACAAAGCCUAAAAGAAAAUGUGUUGAGCACUGAAUAG